rnacentral:misc_RNA from 1 species
GUAGGUGAACCUGCGGAAGGAUCAUUAUUGAAUCCUCAGGAUGUUGCUGGCCUUUCGGGGCAUGUGCACUCCGCCUUUCAAUACACCUGUGAACUUAUUGUAGGUGCAGAUGUAACAAGUCUGCUGCCUAUGUUUUUAAUACACUCUUAAAAAAGUAUAUUGAAUGUCUAAAUGUGGCCUUUGAUGGUCAACAAACUUAAUACAACUUUCAACAAUGGAUCUCUUGGUUCUC